CAGGCUUAACACAUGCAAGUCGAGGGGCAGCAUGGUCUUAGCUUGCUAAGGCCGAUGGCGACCGGCGCACGGGUGAGUAACACGUAUCCAACCUGCCGUCUACUCUUGGACAGCCUUCUGAAAGGAAGAUUAAUACAAGAUGGCAUCAUGAGUCCGCAUGUUCACAUGAUUAAAGGUAUUCCGGUAGACGAUGGGGAUGCGUUCCAUUAGAUAGUAGGCGGGGUAACGGCCCACCUAGUCUUCGAUGGAUAGGGGUUCUGAGAGGAAGGUCCCCCACAUUGGAACUGAGACACGGUCCAAACUCCUACGGGAGGCAGCAGUGAGGAAUAUUGGUCAAUGGGCGAGAGCCUGAACCAGCCAAGUAGCGUGAAGGAUGACUGCCCUAUGGGUUGUAAACUUCUUUUAUAAAGGAAUAAAGUCGGGUAUGGAUACCCGUUUGCAUGUACUUUAUGAAUAAGGAUCGGCUAACUCCGUGCCAGCAGCCGCGGUAAUACGGAGGAUCCGAGCGUUAUCCGGAUUUAUUGGGUUUAAAGGGAGCGUAGAUGGAUGUUUAAGUCAGUUGUGAAAGUUUGCGGCUCAACCGUAAAAUUGCAGUUGAUACUGGAUAUCUUGAGUGCAGUUGAGGCAGGCGGAAUUCGUGGUGUAGCGGUGAAAUGCUUAGAUAUCACGAAGAACUCCGAUUGCGAAGGCAGCCUGCUAAGCUGCAACUGACAUUGAGGCUCGAAAGUGUGGGUAUCAAACAGGAUUAGAUACCCUGGUAGUCCACACGGUAAACGAUAAAUACUCGCUGUUUGCGAUAUACUGCAAGCGGCCAAGCGAAAGCGUUAAGUAUUCCACCUGGGGAGUACGCCGGCAACGGUGAAACUCAAAGGAAUUGACGGGGGCCCGCACAAGCGGAGGAACAUGUGGUCUAAUUCGAUGAUACGCGAGGAACCUUACCCGGGCUUAAAUUGCAGAUGAAUUACGGUGAAAGCCGUAAGCCGCAAGGCAUCUGUGAAGGUGCUGCAUGGUUGUCGUCAGCUCGUGCCGUGAGGUGUCGGCUUAAGUGCCAUAACGAGCGCAACCCUUGUUGUCAGUUACUAACAGGUUCCGCUGAGGACUCUGACAAGACUGCCAUCGUAAGAUGUGAGGAAGGUGGGGAUGACGUCAAAUCAGCACGGCCCUUACGUCCGGGGCUACACACGUGUUACAAUGGGGGGUACAGAGGGCCGCUACCACGCGAGUGGAUGCCAAUCCCCAAAACCUCUCUCAGUUCGGACUGGAGUCUGCAACCCGACUCCACGAAGCUGGAUUCGCUAGUAAUCGCGCAUCAGCCACGGCGCGGUGAAUACGUUCCCGGGCCUUGUACACACCGCCCGUCAAGCCAUGGGAGCCGGGGGUACCUGAAGUGCGUAACCGCGAGGAGCGCCCUAGGGUAAAACUGGUGACUGG
rnacentral:rRNA from 1 species